UACGUAGGGUGCAAGCGUUGUCCGGAAUUAUUGGGCGUAAAGAGCUCGUAGGCGGUUUGUCGCGUCGAAUGUGAAAACCCGGGGCUCAACCCCGGGCCUGCAUUCGAUACGGGCAGACUAGAGUUCGGUAGGGGAGUGUGGAAUUCCCGGUGUAGCGGUGAAAUGCGCAGAUAUCGGGAGGAACACCGAUGGCGAAGGCAGCACUCUGGGCCGGCACUGACGCUGAGGAGCGAAAGCGUGGGGAGCGAACAGG
rnacentral:rRNA from 1 species